UUGAGCCCAAUUUAGCUUAUGGAAAUCUGUUGCUGAGUAGAGAAGUUAGAUAACGAAUACGGUAAGCAGGAAAAAUGCCAUUUGAAGACACUAAUAUCAACAGUGUAUCUCAGUAUACAUACCAUGUGUUUUUUAUAUUGGCCUAGUAUAAGCAGUCCCACUUUAAAUCGUCCUUCCAUGGUAAGAUAUAUACAGUGUGUGGCCACUAACACAUUUUUCUAGGUAAAAUCCUGAGACUGUGAAAUGUAUAUAGUUACUGUUUAAGCUUAUGACCUCAAUCCCAAGAACUGCUUCUAACUCAGCCUAGGUGAGCAGUUAACAAACCAUUUAAAUAUCACCUUAGCCCCGCAUAGUUAGUAGGUGGGAGGGACCCCUUCUACAAGUUGAGCUUGAGUUCCCUACUCAGCUAUGCAGCUAACAUGCUAAGUGAGGCACAGUCCCCUAUGGACGUCUAUAUCACUGUCCCUCUAAGCCCACAGAUACCCUAAGUGACAAGAAAAAGGGUAUGAUCUGGAAACAGGGAUCAUUGCUUCAUUUAAAGGACAUUAAUGUUAACCACGGUGUCUUUCAAAUAAGAUGUCAGUCUCAUAAUAUGUCAAGUUCCUAUCAACAGCCUUUGGUAUGUUUUUGGUGGUAUCAACUGGAAAAACACAAAUAAUAGAGGGCAUCUCGCACCGUAGAAAGAUGUUGCCUACUGCUGUGCUUAUAAGAUGUGCAAAUGCCAGAACAUGAGAGAGGAAUUCAGUGUUGCCUCCUAGGCCUUGAAGGCAUGGGUUGACAGAAUUUGUUUAUUUUCUUAAAAUUAGCUUCAUAUUUAUUAGCCUCCUUUACUGGGAAUGAACCGUGUAUAAAAUAAGCUUCCACCACCUUGCAUUUAUCUUCCAAGCCCAACCACAUAGGAUGUUUUCUUUUUUUAAAGACCAGGUUUUUAUAGGAGAAAUUUGGAGAAAAAAAGGGCACAAAACCUCAUACAGCAGCAUUCCCAGCGGCUUUCUAGUCAACAACCUGUGUUUGUAUCUGUAUCUGUAUUCCUCUUCUGUCUUCAGAUUGUAAGCCUUUUUUGGCAAGCUUUUUUAUUAUUAUUAUUAAAGCCCUUUUCCUGAAAUUUAUGAAUGGCUGUGGCACCAUUAAUGCUGCUGAAUGUCUUAAACUCAUUACAUAGCAAGUGUAUAGCGUAAGGCCACUACUGGUAAGGAAGCCAUAUAAUUAAGAACAUCCAAAAAUGAGACUAAAAAUUAUUAUUUUGGUACAACGCAGUGCGUAUGUGCACUUGGAAGCUUAACGAGGUGUUUUGUUAUCUGGAACUAAAAACCAGCUCAAAAUCUACGAAAGCAGACUCUCUGACAUACCUAGUUUGCUGUGUUGGCUUUGCUGGAGUAUGAUAGGAAAAUGGAGACUCUUUAAUCAGCUCUAAUAGUCUUACUAAGAGGGUAAUACUAAACUUGGGAAAUGUACUAGGUUUCAUCACGUAAUCUGGGUUUUUAAGAUGGAUAUGUAAAACCUGAAAGAAAUGUUAUUAAAGGUUUCACACUCUACAGAAGCUUUACUUUAUUUGACGCUGGUAAGUGGCCUGGGUGCCUUUGUCAGCCAGGCGCCCAGGCGGCACUGUUGAUGACAUAGAUACAUAAUGCACACGCUCUACCAGCCAAACAGGAGACAAACUUAAAGACAAAACUAAACAAUAUGAAGAACAAAAAGGUUGACUGAAAUAAAACUUGAUGGACAUAACUGCUCUGAAACAUUCCAGGAAGGUUAUUUCUUGUCACUCUCACCUGGGGGUAUUUGUUCAAAGCUUGUAUUUAAUAAAUGAAUACCUAACUUAUAACCUUUGUCAUCACUUCCUUUAUUACAGUAUUAAAAGCUCGUGGCAGUAGUUUCAGAUUGUGACGGGCUGACCUCCUCUGCCU